CUUGAACCUGAGAGGCGGAGGUUGCAGUGAGCCAAGAUUGUGCAGCCUGGGCGACAGAGCGAGCCUCUGUCAAAAAAAGAAAAGAAAAAGAACUUCCUACUUUUUAAUAUCUCAAAUUCAUUUUACUAGACGUGGGAGACCAACUAAUGCAAAUGAACAGUUACAGGGUGAUGUUGUACUUUGUGAUUUUUGCCCUAUUUUUUCUUUCCAUCUAUCACCAUUCUCUUUCCAAUCCCAGAGAUUGAUUUAUUAGGUCUUGGAAAUUCUAGAUUAUUCCAUUAACUAUUAAGCAGUUAAACCUGAUACUUCCUACACUAGAUAAUGGAACUUCAACAUUAGCCUAUUGAUUGCCCAAGAACAAACAUUUUUUUCUAAAUGUCAGGUGUUAUGGGGAGGAUUGAUGCUGACAGCAGAGGUCUAGUUAAAAACUGAUGCAGAGGUUCAAAUACGUUGUGCAGUAAUCACUAGAACUCACCUUCUAAAGUGUCAUGAGAGCUCUGAUUCUGCAAUUAGAGAUUUUUUAAUGUGUUUUUGAAAUUACCUUGUAAACCACAAAUCUGUGUCUCUGCAUUGCCCCUUAUUGUUUCCUACCACAAAUUCUACAUCAAGAAGAAAGUUUUAAAGUUAGACUGGAUUUAUUUGUGAUUUUAUGGAGCACAAUAAGGUACAUUGAGAUAGCAUACUAAAGGAGGCCAAAUACAGGAAGCAUCAUCUUUUCUUAUUCUCUUACUGCCUGGAUUUUCCCACUGACCUGGAAUUGUGCACAGUUCUACAAAGGACAAUUGACAUUGUUUUCCUUUUACUAAGUAGUGGGUUUUCCUUAAGGUCCAGACUGAAUUUUGAGACCUGUAUCAGGAUUGCCUUCUGUGUGACUUUUUCUUGCAGGAUCUGACAUCAUUACCUAUGGGUCCAUAUAUUUGUGAUACUUUGGUUUCGGGAACAUCACUUUUAGAAUGUUGACAUAAAAUGCACCCACAGAAUGCCGUAUUUAUCAAAAGUAACUUUCUAGCAAAAUCUACAGCAGUAGGCAUUUGGAAUCUGCAUUUGAGACCUCUGCAGUCAUUUGGUCAUUCCAGCAAUCUAUGUCCAGGUUGUCAAUUUCAGAGGUCUUAUUAGUCUAUACAGGUACCAAUGAGCUUUCAGAUGUUCAACACCUACCCCUGGCCUAACUGCUGAUAACCAACCAUAACCCUUGCAGAUGCAUGCAUGUUUUCUGCACCUUGCUAUCAUUUUUCAGUCCAUUUUUCACAUGUAUACAUAGUGAUUAUUUUUAAAUGCAACCCUGAUUUCACAUGCCUCAUGUUGAAAUAUCGUGUGGCUUAUUGUGGACUUAAAGUGUAACAUUCUCCUUAUGGUAUGUAAGGACUUUUGUAUAAACCAAUGCCUAUCUAUCUAUCAUUUCUGAAAACUUUUUCCUCCUAUGCAAUAUUUUCUGGCCUCUGUGAACAACUUGUAGUUCCUUGAGAUUUCUAUUAUCACUUAUGUUUUUGCAAAUCUGCAAUUGAAAUGCCCUUGUUCCUUGUUAAUGCCUAUUGAAUCUAUAUGAACCUGUACGUGUGUUUCUCACUGUGAUAAUAUAAUCAUUGCAUGUUUUAUCUUUCCCACUAGAAAGCUUCUAGAAAGCUAGUACUAUCUUUUUUGUCUGUGUAAUUUUUGCAUCACAAGCUAUAUUUAAAUGUGGGUGCAGUGAGUGGCUGUUUUCUGCCACAUGGAGAAACAUGGUCUGCAGUGAGAGAGAAGAAUGAAGCCAUGAUGAAAGCAAAAUCAAGAAAGAGUCCCGAUUGUGUUCCAGUACCUGGUUCUUCUGGUCUUCAUGUUCAGGUCCACCUCUGCCCUUUUCAUGUCUUGAUUGUUGAAUUCUUC
rnacentral:lncRNA from 10 species